rnacentral:lncRNA from 1 species
AGACAUCUCAGUGUUCAGAGGGACCCCCUUUACGUGUACAGUCAAAGGCAAUUUAUGACUAUGUUUGUACAACUCAAAACCCAACAUUAAAUCAUCAUCAUUUUCUACACUCAUCCCACUACCAGUAACAAACGAAACAAAUGAUGCAGCUAUGUUAAACAACUUAUAAACAUCAGACAACAAGGAUAUGUACGAAUACCUUGCAAUAGGGACAUUAUAUAAAGAAUCGGUUUUGUUUUCAUAUGUCAACACCACAGUAAAUCUCUCUUCCACAGCCAUGUUUUCAGACCUGCACACAUGAAUCACACAUUCUUUAAUUAGUCAAAAUCUCCUGAAAAAAAAAAUAACUAAAACUAUCAGUAACAGUAAGUGGUACCCACAUGUUUUACUAUAAUACAAAUAUUAUGAUCACACAUCCAAAGAAAAAAAAAAUAAAAGAAAGUACAAAAAGUUACAUUUCCCCAGUUGUUUGACAGAAACCAACAAAAUCGGGACCACAACUUCUCUUCGACAGAACCCAACUUCUCUUCGAUAAAAACCAACAAAAUCGAGAAGAGAGGAUUUAGGGAAGAAGAGGGAAGUUAGAGAUUUGAGAAGAGAAGUUAUCGACUUGGGAGAAGACAGAAAGUUAGGGAUUUAGGAAGAGAGAGGUUAUCGAUUUGGGAAGAAAAGAGAAAUUAGGGAUUUCGGAACAGAGGUUUUCAUUUUCGGGAGAAGAGAGAGAGAGGAUAGGGAUUUGAGAAGAGAAAUUAUCGAUUUGGGGAAAAGUUACACUAAGGUUAUUUUGGUCUUUUCAUCUUAUUUUUAACGGAAAAGAGGGUAAUAGUGGAUGGAAGGACUGAUUUGUUAACGUUUUGAUUAUAUAAGGACGUUUUAAUAGGUUUCUGAAAAUACAG